rnacentral:rRNA from 1 species
AUUGAACGCUGGCGGCAGGCCUAACACAUGCAAGUCGAGCGAGCGGCGGACGGGUGAGUAAUGUAUGGGUACUGCCCGAUAGAGGGGGAUAAUACUGGAAACGGUAGCUAAUACCGCAUACUAUCGGAUAACCCUUAUGGGAUUAGCUAGUUGGUGAGGUAAUGGCGAACCAAGGCUACGAUCUCUAACUGGUGUGAGAGGACGACCAGUCACACUGGGACUUGGACACGGCCCAGACUCCUACGGGAGGCAGCAGUGGGGAAUUUUGGACAAUGGGGGAAACCCUGAUCCAGCCAUCCCGCGUGUAUGAUGAAGGCCUUCGGGUUGUAAAGCACUGGUGGCAGGAAGCGGUUCUGCAGAAUAAGCACCGGCUAACUACGUGCCAGCAGCCGCGGUAAUAC